UAACAAUGAUUUCCCUAGUAACGGCGAGUGAAGAGGAAAGAGCUCAAAGUUGGAACCUAUUUGGCUUAGCUAAAUCGGAUUGUAAACUGUAGAAGUGUUUUCCAGACACGCCUGGUAAAAAAGUCCUUUGGAACAGGGCAUCAUAGAGGGUGAGAAUCCCGUCAUUGGCCAGAGCUGUUGUCUUUUGUGAUACAUUUUCAAAGAGUCAGGUUGUUUGGGAAUGCAGCCUAAAUUGGGUGGUAAAUCUCACCUAAAGCUAAAUAUUUGCGAGAGACCGAUAGCGAACAAGUACCGUGAGGGAAAGAUGAAAAGAACUUUGAAAAGAGAGUUAAACAGUAUGUGAAAUUGUUAAAAGGGAACCGUUUGGAGCCAGACUGGCUUAAUCGUAAUCAAUUUAGGCUUUGGCCUGGAUGCACUUGCGGUUUAUGCCGGCCAACGACAGUUUUGUUUGGGAGAAAAAAUUACAUUGAAUGUGGCCCCUCGGGGUGUUAUAGCUUUGUAAAAAAUAUCCUGGACUGGACUGAGGAACGCAGUGAAUGCCUUUAGGCAAGAUUGCUGGGUGCUUUCGCUAAUACAUGCUAGAAUUUCUGCUUCGGGUGGUGCUAGUGUUUAAAGGAGGAACUCGCCUGGUAUAUUUUUUAUUCGCUUAGGUUGUUGGCUUAAUGACUCUAAAUGACCCGUCUUGAAACACGGACCAA
rnacentral:rRNA from 2 species